CUACGGGGGGCAGCAGUGGGGAAUUUUGGACAAUGGGUGAAAGCCUGAUCCAGCCAUUCCGCGUGAGUGAUGAAGGCCUUCGGGUUGUAAAGCUCUUUCGGCCGGGAAGAAAUCGUGCAGGCUAAUAUCCUGCAUGGAUGACGGUACCGGAUCAAGAAGCACCGGCUAACUACGUGCCAGCAGCCGCGGUAAUACGUAGGGUGCGAGCGUUAAUCGGAAUUACUGGGCGUAAAGCGUGCGCAGGCGGAUGUUUAAGCCAGAUGUGAAAUCCCCGGGCUUAACCUGGGAAUGGCAUUUGGAACUGGACAUCUAGAGUGUGUCAGAGGGGGGUGGAAUUCCACGUGUAGCAGUGAAAUGCGUAGAGAUGUGGAGGAACACCGAUGGCGAAGGCAGCCCCCUGGGAUAACACUGACGCUCAUGCACGAAAGCGUGGGGAGCAAACAGGAUUAGAUACCCCCGUAGUC
rnacentral:rRNA from 1 species